rnacentral:rRNA from 1 species
UACGGAGGGUGCAAGCGUUAUCCGGAUUCACUGGGUUUAAAGGGUGUGUAGGCGGGUAUUUAAGUCAGUGGUGAAAUCUCCAGGCUCAACCUGGAAACUGCCAUUGAUACUAUUUAUCUUGAAUAUCGUUGAGGUUGGCGGAAUAUAUCAUGUAGCGGUGAAAUGCAUAGAUAUGAUAUAGAACACCGAUUGCGAAGGCAGCUAACUAAGCGAUUAUUGACGCUGAGGCACGAAAGCGUGGGGAGCAAACAGG